rnacentral:tRNA from 1 species
AGCCAAGUGGUAAGGCAUCGGUUUUUGGUACCGGCAUGCAAAGGUUCGAAUCCUUU